rnacentral:misc_RNA from 1 species
AACAAGGCGUACCUGCGGACCUGCGGAGGGAUCAUUAACGAGUGUUAACCUACCUUUUUUUUAAAAGGGUGGUACCUCCCGUCCUUUGCAUGGCCCCCUUUUUGGGGGGCUUUUUAAGACUUUUCUGCUUCGGUGGGGUUAUUCCCGCCGGAACACUCUCAAAAAACUCUUAAAAAACAGUUCAGUCCGAGAAUUUUUGAAUAUAAAAAAAACUUUUAACAACGGAUCUCAGAUCGGAAG